GAGAAACAAAGUAGACAAACAUCUGGAAAGUGUACUUCCUAUGGGGAGAUUGUAGGCUAGCCAUCACCUCCCGCUAGCAUUCCAUUGCCUUCCAUUCAUUUUGACGUCACUUUGACAGCGAAUAAGUUUACAUCUGAAGAGUUUAAAGACUCUAUUUGUCCAUUGUUUAUUUCUAAAGAAACACGACAAUGUAUAAAAGGCUCCAUUAC